rnacentral:rRNA from 1 species
UACAGAGGGGGCAAGCGUUGUUCGGAAUUACUGGGCGUAAAGGGCGCGUAGGCGGCCAACUAAGUCGGACGUGAAAUCCCCAGGCUCAACCUGGGAACUGCGUCCGAUACUGGAUGGCUUGAAUUCGGGAGAGGGAUGCAGAAUUCCAGGUGUAGCGGUGAAAUGCGUAGAUAUCUGGAGGAAUACCGGUGGCGAAGGCGGCAUCCUGGACCGACAUUGACGCUGAUGAGCGAAAGCUAGGGGAGCAAACGGG